rnacentral:rRNA from 1 species
CUUGACGACCAUAGAGCAUUGGAACCACCUGAUCCCAUCCCGAACUCAGCAGUGAAACGAUGCAUCGCCGAUGGUNCUAGCGCAGACAGGGGUUUUGUCGUUUAGG